UGGUUCUGUUGUUUCUUGUGAUAAGAUAUCAAAAUGGGAAAAAGUUUAUUUGUGAUCAUGUUGCUUCUUGCUCUUUUUACUACAAGCAUUUUACUUUAUUCUUUUUAUGCUUUUUGCUUAUAUGAGACUUUUAUGACUUACACAGAAGCAAAGACAUGUACAUUGCCAAACACAAAAUAUUCUUGUUUGUCUGAAAAGAAGUGUGAUGAGGACUGCCGAGAUGGACCACCACCUGCUACUGGCGGCAAAUGUGAAAACAUUAACGGGAUUCCUCGAUGUGUCUGUUCCUGGACGUGUAGAUGAACAUAUGCUCUGAAAAGCUACUUAUAAUACCAUGUAAGUGUACACCAGUCACAUGACUUAAUUUCGUGUAUGCCAGCUGUCAUUUCUGAUGAUGUAUUUAAUAUCAAUAAAACGUUUGUGGGUUUUAGCA